UCUGAAUGCAACCACGAAAACAGUUUUCGUACUCAAUUUUAAUCGUUCGUUUUAUUUUAAAUUUUUAAUAUAAUUAAUAUUUUUGUUGUUAUGAGAUGAUAAAACAUAAAUACUUCGAAAAAUUUAUGAGUGAUUUAUGUUUUUAAUUUUUUUUCAAAAAAAUUUUAAAUAAGAAGGACGAUCAAAAUUGAGCACGAAAAAUUAUGGCUGUACUCAAA
rfam:Oryza glaberrima chromosome 4 Oglab04_0311_12, whole genome shotgun sequence.